GUAGAUGAGCUCGGCGGUACAGUUAAAGGGCCCUACGUGACAGUAGAUGACAAAGUAUAUUGUGUAGUGCAUUGGUGGGUUGAGUGUAUAUUGUGUAGUGCAGUGUAGGGUUGAGUGUAUAUUGUGUAGUGCAUUGUUGGGUUGAGUGUAUAUUGUGUAGUGCAUUGUUGGGUUGAGUGUAUAUUGUGUAGUGCAUUGUUGGGUUGAGUGUAUAUUGUGUAGUGCAUUGUUGGGUUGAGUGUAUAUUGUGUAGUGCAUUGUUGGGUUGAGUGUAUAUUGUGUAGUGCAUUGGUGGGUUGAGUGUAUAUUGUGUAGUGCAUUGUUGGGUUGAGUGUAUAUUGUGUAGUGCAGUGUAGGGUUGAGUGUAUAUUGUGUAGUGCAGUGUAGGGUUGAGUGUAUAUUGUGUAGUGCAUUGUUGGGUUGAGUGUAUAUUGUGUAGUGCAGUGUUGGGUUGAGUGUAGGGCACGAGACCUCACGAUAUUAAAACGUGACGAUAUUUCUCAUCAAGCUUAAACCUGUCUCGCGGGAAGAAAAAACAGUUUAGUGUGGACUUUUUAAGAGGGAUCUGGCAACACAGUAAUGAUACAGCGAGUCGCUGAGCAGUGAGAGCAGCUCUCAGCAGAUGAGGAAAAUUCGGGCUUUCCAAUGCACACCCAAACCUACUGAGAAGGAUUUAUAAACGCUUUGCGGCGGAGUAAACUCACAGACCAAUCACGUGUGGGGUAAGAUCACAAAACGCUCUCUUCAGUCAAUCAGGGGUGCGUUUCCUGUACAAUGACGGAUCCUAGCAUUGAACUAACGUGGUACAAUCCAUGGUCAAACUAACAUCUGAAGUUCGACCGUUUCCCGAAACCAUCGUACUUUGUUGGUAUGACAGAAGUCUGAAAUAAGUUGUUUUAAACCACCCUGGUCAUAACUGAGGUGUUUCCAGGCGUGUUCGACCAGACUUUCCCAGCAGAAAACGUGCAAAACUCACAAUCUAUUAAAAUAUUAUGCCAAAAUUUUUUUACUAAUUUAUUAUUUAGGCUAUUUAUAUUGUAAUUAUCACCACAACAUGAACCGACAACAAUUCUAUUAAUAAAAUAACAAUGAACUGCAAGUAAAAUCUACACAAUAAUUGCUAUAUAUAAAUGAUUAAUUAACAGUAACAGACAGUGUUCCUUUAAAAAAACAUACACAUAUUUGCUAUUGCAAUUUUUAAAAAAUAAAUAUUAAUACAUCACCAUUCUGAAUAAGUCUUAUUAAUAUGAGACCUGAGAAAUAUGUGUUGCUCAGUGGUUCAGCAGAGCGCCUACGACAGUGCAGCAGGCGGUGUUCUGUCGAAUGGUGCAACCCAUCGAGAUGUGCUUCUUAACACCAGUGCCCAUGCGUGAAACAUUUUUUAUUAUUUUUUUUUUGUAUGGUAAUUCUGUUCUUUUUGGAUGCAUUGAACAACCAGAAACCCCCUUGCCAUUAUUUCUGAGUAUUACAAAUGCGUAAAUGACAGCUGAUAAUAAUGAAAGUAAUAAGUUAGCAUUGAAAAAAAAAUAAGGGUUAUAAUCACCCCUAAUAACUCUAAACUCCUGAUAUUUUGAUUCAGCAUUUCCAAAUAUCCUACCGAAAGCAUGUUUAAAUAUGGGGCUUUUUCUAGCAAUUUUAUAUUUAAAUAUGCACUAGGGUAGUACGGUUUGACAGGGAAGCAAACCUCGACAGAACACCGGAUGGAAGCCUAAUUCGAAACCCAGUCGUGGUUUUAUUCUCUUAAUGUUUUUUUUUUCAUAAUGGCAAUUAAUGUUAUUAUUUUUAAAGUAUCUAUUAAUGUAGCCUACAUAUUUCUACUUAUUUCCUGUGGUAUAUAUUAUUUAACAAAUACUAACUGAUAACAUUUGUUUAGGCCUAGAAACACACUUUGUAAUUAUGGGUAAAAUAUACAUUUUCUUUAUCCACACUCUGUCUGUAUGUUCACAGCACAAGCCUGCUUGAAUAAUUGGCAUACAUCUUUCCAAGACUGUAAAAUACAUUUUAGCUAAAGAGCACUUCAGUGCACUUUUUUACUACACUGAAUUCAUGUUUGCCAAAUAAAGCUAAAUGUUAAAGACAUACAUUAAAAAAUGGCCAAUUAACUUACAUUUUCAAAAUACAUUUUACAUUUAAUACAAGUACUGAAUUUAAAAAAACGGGCGGAAAAACAAGAACAGGCGGAAACUAAAGUCACGCCGGCUCGUAAAUCAGUCUGAUAAAUCAUAAUCAUAAUCAUAAAUGAGUUUGCGAUAUAUGAUUUUGUCAAAUAAAACUGUAGUUUUCAAGACAUUUUUCAUUUUUGACAUUUUUUUUUUAAUUUUAUUUUUAAAUCUUGUCUCGUUCUCGUGAAACCAGUAUCGUGUCUCGUCUUAUCUUGUGAUAUUAGUGUCUCGUCACACCCCUAGUUGAGUGUAUAUUGUGUAGUGCAUUGUUGGGUUGAGUAUAUACUAUAUGGUGCAGUGUUAGGUUGAGUUUAUAUUGUGUGUUGCAUUGUUGGGUUGAGUAUAUACUAUAUGGUGCAGUGUUGGGUUGAGUGUAUAUUGUGUGUUGCAGUUUUGGGUUGAGUAUAUACUAUAUGGUGCAGUGUUGGGUUGAGUGUAUAUUGUGUGUUGCAGUGUUGGGUUGAGUAUAUACUAUAUGGUGCAGUGUUGGGUUGAGUUUAUAUUGUGUGUUGCAGUGUUGGUUUGAGUUUAUAUUGUGUAUUGCAGUGUUGGGUUAAGUGUAUACUAUAUGGUGCAGUGUUGGGUUGAGUUUAUAUUGUGUGUUGCAGUGUUGGUUGGUGUGCAGUGAUAAAUAAACUAAAAAACUAAAAAUAAACUAAAAAUAUAGCCGCAAGCGGCAAUCAGCGGGUUCAAGCACCAACUGGCACAAUGGUGCCUAAUAGAGCAUAGAAUGGUGAUGUGUAAGAAGAUCUAAUAUGAUUGGAGAUGCCCUGUCACAUUUAGAAAUUAUCAAAAGUUUUUCACCUGUUAUUAAUGUUGAGCAGAGGCCUUCCAAUAUGUUCAGUUCUUUAAUUCACAUUCAAAUCUAUUGAAGUUUGUAGAAUAUUCAAGUGAGUUAGAACUAGUCAAAAGGUGUCUACAUGUUAUUGGUAUUGAUCAGGUUGCUUCAACCAGAAUGUUCACAAAGUGGUGUUCAGAUUGACCUUUUAACCUUUGCAAAACAAGCUGAAAUGUUUGACCAAACAAGUUUAAAUUAACACAAAGGAGUGCAUUGUCUGACAUGACAUGUAAUCACAAAGUUAUUCUAAAUCUAGUUCUGAAUUAAAUGGCGCUUCAUCAGAGUGAUAUUGUACAGAGGUCUUUAACAUUGUGAGAUUACAGCAAAUACUGCAGAGUUACAGCAGUUUAGGUUGGAAAUUCCAAGGAUGCACAGAUUGCUUGAUGCCUGCACACUAUUGUAAGUGAAAUUUUUACAAAUGUUUUUAAUGAAUCUUUACCUAGAGACUCUACAGUGUGCAACAAAUAUCCAGAGACUAGUUUCAAUAUAGCUAUUUUUCUGUGUGUUGCAGUGUAUACUAUAUGGUGCAGUGUUGGGUUGAGUGUAUAUUGUGUUUUACAGUGUUGGGUUGAGUGUAUAUUGUGUGUUGCAGUGUUGGAUUGAGUGUAUACCAUAUGGUGCAGUGUUGGGUUGAGUGUAUAUUGUGUGUUGCAGUGUUGGGUUGAGUGUAUAUUGUGUGUUGCAGUGCUGGGUUGAGUGUAUUGUGGUAGGCCCCUGGGGUUAGGGGCGUGACCACUGUGACCCGGAAGGAGGAAGCUCACAGAGAUACACAGACACGGGGAGUAAAUGAACUCAAAACAUACCUUUAUUCGGCUUGAAAAUGCCCUCCACCACACCCAGAAUAACUUAAAUAAACAUAACUCUGCCCAAUGGGGCUCUAGAGUCUGUCUAAUUACUUAGUUUUUUUCUAUUAAAGGUCCGUGCAGCCUCAGCCCUCAGCUCCCCAGUCAAAGUCCUCCCUUCAGUGAGCUGAGGCUGAGAUCUUAUACCUGUCCCAGCUGGCUGCUUAAUCAGUCCGGAUGCGGGCCAGCUGGGACACAUAGAGCUGUGCGCUCUGGCGUGGGCGGACCCCCAACUCCCCCAACUGUUUUUGUGAGGUAGGUUGGAUGUUUUUGUGAGGUUGGUUGGAUGUUUUUGUGAGGUAGGCGGGAUGUUUUUGUGAGGUUGGUUGAAUGUUUUUGUGAGGUAGGUUGGAUGUUUUUGUGAGGUAGGUUGGAUGUUUUUGUGAGGUAGGUUGGAUGUUUUUGUGAGGUUGGUUGGAUGUUUUUGUGAGGUUGGUUGGAUGUUUUUGUGAGGUUGGUUGGAUGUUUUUGUGAGGUUGGUUGGAUGUUUUUGUGAGGUAGAUUGGAUGUUUUUGUGAGGUAGGCUAUAUGUUUUUGUGAGGUUGGGUGGAUGUUUUUGUGAGGUUAGUUGGAUGUUUUUGUGAGGUAAGCCGGAUGUUUUUGUGAAGUAGGUUGGAUGUUUUUGUGAGGUAGGUUGGAUGUUUUUGUGAGGUUGGUUGGAUGUUUUUGUGAGGUUGGUUGGAUGUUUUUGUGAGGUUGGUUGGAUGUUUUUGUAAGGUAGGCAGGAUGUUUUUGUGAGGUUGGUUGGAUGUUUUUGUGAGGUUGGUUGGAUGUUUUUGUGAGGUAGGUGGGAUGUUUUUGUGAGGUUGGUUGGAUGUUUUUGUGAGGUAGGCUAUAUGUUUUUGUGAGGUUGGUUGGAUGUUUUUGUGAAGUAGGUUGGAUGUUUUUGUGAGGUAGGUUGGAUGUUUUUGUGAGGUAGGCUAUAUGUUUUCGUGAGGUUGGUUGGAUGUUUUUGUGUGGUUAGUUGGAUAUUUUUGUGAGGUAGGUUGGAUGUUUUUGUGAGGUUGGUUGGAUGUUUUUGUAAGGUAGGCGGGAUGUUUUUGUGAGGUAGGCGGGAUGUUUUUGUGAGGUUGGUUGGAUGUUUUUGUGAGGUUGGUUGGAUGUUUUUAUGAGGUUGGUUGGAUGUUUUUGUGAGGUAGGCGGGAUGUUUUUGUGAGGUUGGUUGGAUGUUUUUGUGAGGUAGGCUAUAUGUUUUUGUGAGGUUGGUUGGAUGUUUUUGUGAGGUAGGUUGGAUGUUUUUGUGAAGUAGGUUGGAUGUUUUUGUGAGGUAGGCUAUAUGUUUUUGUGAGGUUGGUUGGAUGUUUUUGUGAGGUAGGUUGGAUGUUUUUGUGAGGUUGGUUGGAUGUUUUUGUGAGGUAGGUUGGAUGUUUUUGUGAGGUAGGUUGGAUGUUUUUGUGAGGUAGGUUAGAUGUUUUUGUGAGGUUGGUUGGAUGUUUUUGUGAGAUUGGUUGGAUGUUUUUGUGAGGUAGGGUGGAUGUUUUUGUGAGGUUGGUUGGAUGUUUUUCUGAGGUAGGCGGGAUGUUUUUGUGAGGUAGGUUGGAUGUUUUUGUGAGGUAGGUUGGAUGUUUUUGUGAGGUUGGUUGGAUGUUUUUGUGAGGCUGGUUGGAUGUUUUUGUGAGGUAGGCUAUAUGUUUUUGUGAGGUUGGUUGGAUGUUUUUGUGAGGUAGGUUGGAUGUUUUUGUGAGGUAGGUUGGAUGUUUUUGUGAGGUAGGCUAUAUGUUUUUGUGAGGUUGGUUGGAUGUUUUUGUGUGGUUAGUUGAAUAUUUUUGUGAGGUAGGUUGGAUGUUUUUGUGAGGUUGGUUGGAUGUUUUUGUGAGGUUGGUUGGAUGUUUUUGUGAGGUAGGUUGGAUGUUUUUGUGAGGUUGGUUGGAUGUUUUUGUGAGGUAGGCGGGAUGUUUUUGUGAGGUUGGUUGGAUGUUUUUGUGAGGUUGGUUGGAUGUUUUUGUGAGGUUGGUUGGAUGUUUUUGUGAGGUAGGCUAUAUGUUUUUGUGAGGUUGGUUGGAUGUUUUUGUGAGGUAGGUUGGAUGUUUUUGUGAGGUUGGUUGGAUGUUUUUGUGAGGUUGGUUGGAUGUUUUUGUGAGAUUGGUUGAAUGUUUUUGUGAGGUAGGUUGGAUGUUUUUGGGAGGUUGGUUGGAUGUUUUUGUAAGGUAGGCGGGAUGUUUUUGUGAGGUUGGUUGGAUGUUUUUGUGAGGUUGGUUGGAUGUUUUUGUUUGGUAGGUUGGAUGUUUUUGUGAGGUAGGUUUGAUGUUUUUGUGAGGUAGGUUAUAUGUUUUUGUGAGGUUGGUUGGAUGUUUUGGUGAGGUUGGUUGGAUGUUUUUGUGAGGUUGGUUGGAUGUUUUUGUGAGGUAGGUUGGAUGUUUUUGUGAGGUAGGUUGGAUGUUUUUGUGAAGUUGGUUGAAUGUUUUUGGGAGGUAGGCUGUAUGUUUUUGUGAGGUUGGUUGGAUGUUUUUGUGAGGUAGAUUGGAUGUUUUUGUGAGGUUGGUUGGAUGUUUUUGUGAGGUAGGCGGAAUGUUUUUGUGAGGUUGGUUGGAUGUUUUUGUGAGGUAGGUUGGAUGUUUUUGUGAGGUUGGUUGAAUGUUUUUGUGAGGUAGGCUGUAUGUUUUUGUGAGGUUAGUUGGAUGUUUUUGUGAGGUAGAUUGGAUGUUUUUGUGAGGUUGGUUGGAUGUUUUUGUGAGGUAGGCGGGAUGUUUUUGUGAGGUUGGUUGGAUGUUUUGGUGAGGCUGGUUGGAUGUUUUUGUGAGGUAGGCUAUAUGUUUUUGUGAGGUUGGUUGGAUGUUUUGGUGAGGUUGGUUGGAUGUUUUUGUGAGGUUGGUUGGAUGUUUUUGUGAGGUAGGUUGGAUGUUUUUGUGAGGUAGGUUGGAUGCUUUUGUGAAGUUGGUUGAAUGUUUUUGUGAGGUAGGCUGUAUGUUUUUGUGAGGUUGGUUGGAUGUUUUUGUGAGGUAAAUUGGAUGUUUUUGUGAGGUUGGUUGGAUGUUUUUGUGAGGUAGGCGGGAUGUUUUUGUGAGGUUGGUUGGAUGUUUUUGUGAGGUAGGUUGGAUGUUUUUGUGAGGUUGGUUGAAUGUUUUUGUGAGGUAGGCUGUAUGUUUUUGUGAGGUUAGUUGGAUGUUUUUGUGAGGUAGAUUGGAUGUUUUUGUGAGGUAGAUUGGAUGUUUUUGUGAGGUUGGUUGGAUGUUUUUGUGAGGUAGGCGGGAUGUUUUUGUGAGGUUGGUUGGAUGUUUUUGUGAGGUAGGCUAUAUGUUUUUGUGAGGUUGGUUGGAUGUUUUUGUGAGGUAGGUUGGAUGUUUUUGUGAGGUAGGUUGGAUGUUUUUGUGAGGUAGGUUGGAUGUUUUUGUGAGGUUGGUUGGAUGUUUUUGUGAGGUUGGUUGGAUGUUUUUGUGAGGUAGGCUAUAUGUUUUUGUGAGGUUGGUUGGAUGUUUUGGUGAGGUUGGUUGGAUGUUUUUGUGAGGUUGGUUGGAUGUUUUUGUGAGGUAGGUUGGAUGUUUUUGUGAGGUAGGUUGGAUGUUUUUGUGAAGUUGGUUGAAUGUUUUUGGGAGGUAGGCUGUAUGUUUUUGUGAGGUUGGUUGGAUGUUUUUGUGAGGUAGAUUGGAUGUUUUUGUGAGGUUGGUUGGAUGUUUUUGUGAGGUAGGCGGAAUGUUUUUGUGAGGUUGGUUGGAUGUUUUUGUGAGGUAGGUUGGAUGUUUUUGUGAGGUUGGUUGAAUGUUUUUGUGAGGUAGGCUGUAUGUUUUUGUGAGGUUAGUUGGAUGUUUUUGUGAGGUAGAUUGGAUGUUUUUGUGAGGUUGGUUGGAUGUUUUUGUGAGGUAGGCGGGAUGUUUUUGUGAGGUUGGUUGGAUGUUUUGGUGAGGCUGGUUGGAUGUUUUUGUGAGGUAGGCUAUAUGUUUUUGUGAGGUUGGUUGGAUGUUUUGGUGAGGUUGGUUGGAUGUUUUUGUGAGGUUGGUUGGAUGUUUUUGUGAGGUAGGUUGGAUGUUUUUGUGAGGUAGGUUGGAUGCUUUUGUGAAGUUGGUUGAAUGUUUUUGUGAGGUAGGCUGUAUGUUUUUGUGAGGUUGGUUGGAUGUUUUUGUGAGGUAGGCGGGAUGUUUUUGUGAGGUUGGUUGGAUGUUUUUGUGAGGUAGGUUGGAUGUUUUUGUGAGGUUGGUUGAAUGUUUUUGUGAGGUAGGCUGUAUGUUUUUGUGAGGUUAGUUGGAUGUUUUUGUGAGGUAGAUUGGAUGUUUUUGUGAGGUAGAUUGGAUGUUUUUGUGAGGUUGGUUGGAUGUUUUUGUGAGGUAGGCUAUAUGUUUUUGUGAGGUUGGUUGGAUGUUUUUGUGAGGUAGGUUGGAUGUUUUUGUGAGGUAGGUUGGAUGUUUUUGUGAGGUAGGCUAUAUGUUUUUGUGAGGUUGGUUGGAUGUUUUUGUGUGGUUAGUUGGAUAUUUUUGUGAGGUAGGUUGGAUGUUUUUGUGAGUUAGGUUGGAUGCUUUUGAGGUUGGUUGGAUGUUUGUACCCCCUCGACUCCGGCCUUAGAGCCCUCACAGCGGGGCGAAUGGGUAACGUUUCGGCGGCAUAGUCGAAAGGCUAAGGCUAAUGCUACCGCAAAGGCCACAGCCAGCCCACCUGAACACCACGCUCCCCCAGUUCACGUGUCAAACAGGUUUGCCCCGCUCAGUGAAGCACCAACUGAGGAGCCUGUUAAAGGUACUCUGGUGAUAGGAGACUCUAUCGUCCGACACGUGAAAUUAGCUACUCCUUUAGGGGCACCAGCGGCAACAGUUACUUGUUUACCGGGAGCCAGAGCACCGGACAUUAGUGGCAACCUUAGGCUGGUAGGGAAUAGGAGAUAUUCGAGGAUAGUAAUUCAUGUAGGGGCCAAUGAUAUUCGUCUGCGGCAGUCUGAAGUAACUAAGGCUAAUAUUAAAGAGGUGAUUAAACAAGCCCAGACGCUGUCCGAGGAGGUAAUCUGCUCUGGCCCCAUCCCAAUGAGGCGUGGUGAUGAAGCUUACAGCAGGCUUUCUUCGCUGAACCGCUGGAUGUCCAAGUGGUGUGCAGAAAAUCAUGUGGGCUUUAUAGAUAACUGGCUACACUUUGAGGGCAAGCCUGGUCUUUUAGGUAGGGAUGGUGUCCACCCCACGCGGGAGGGUGCUGCCUUACUUUCAUGCAGCAUAGCUCAUAGUCUUUUAGCUAGUCGGCAGAGUAGUAUUAGAAGCUGCUGACAAUCCAGAGCUGGGACCAGGCCGCAGACAGAGGCUUAACCGACCGUCUGCGAGCUGCAAAGAGACGUUACCUAGAUACCAAUGUAUUCAGACUGUGUCUGUCCCCCGAGUCAAACAAAAACAUCAAAAAACUAAAACAGUAAAUCUAAAUAACUUAACUUAUAUUAAACAAUCAUAUCCAGACUGUAGUACUAACAUUUCAAGCAUAAAGAUUGGUUUACUUAAUAUUAGAUCUCUAAAUUCAAAAGCAGUUCUAGUGAAUGAAAUGAUAACUGAUCAGAAAUUCGAUGUUCUGUGUCUGACAGAAACCUGGAUUAGGCCAAAUGAAUAUGUAGCAUUAAAUGAAGCCACCCCUGCAGGCUAUAAUUAUAUACACAAUCCGAGAUUGUCCGGUAGAGGAGGUGGGGUCUGCAUAUUUUUCCAAAGUACCUUAGUUAGCAAUCAGAAACACUAUGAUAAUUUUACUUCUUUUGAGCUUCUUUACACCAGUAUAAUUAAUCCAGUUACAAAAAAGAAUGCAUUUUCUUUAAUUAACAUCUACCGACCACCAGGGCCCUAUUUAGAAUUUUUAAAAGAAUUUAGUGAUUUUGUCACAGACUUAGCAGUAAGUAAUGAUAAAGUGAUUAUAGUUGGAGACUUCAACAUUCAUUUCGAAAAUUGGAUGAUCCAUUAAAAAAGGCAUUCACAUCGAUUUUAGACUCAGUUGGUAUUAUUCAAAAUAUAACAGGACCUACUCAUUACUGUAAUCAUACUCUGGAUUUAGUUUUGACCCUGGGUGUGAGCAUAGAUAACCCGAAUAUUCGUUCUCAAACCUCCGCAAUUUCAGAUCAUUACCUUAUUUCAUUUAAAUUACAUCUCAGUCAUAAUAUACAUACAUCCCCUAGCUACUCUGUAAAACGUUCAAUUACGCCUUUUACAGCCCAACAAUUUACAGAUAAGCUUCCAGACUUAUCAACUCUAAUGUAUUCUCCUAUAGACCCAGUAGAACUAGACAAACUAACCGAAGGUUUAAAAAAUACCUUUCGCUAUACCUUAGAUGUUGUAGCACCCCUUAAACACAAAAUAGAGAGAGAGAAAAAGCUCGCAACGUGGUACAAUGAUCAAACUCGUACCUUAAAGCAGUUAGUACGAAAUUUAGAGCGUAAAUAUCGAUCAACUAAACUGGAAGUGUUUCACUCUGUGCGGAAAGACAGUCUUGUUAAAUAUAGAACUAAUAUAGAACUAAAUAAAGCACGCUCAGCGUAUCUGGCCUCACAGAUCGAGAUAAAUAAAAAUAAUCCUAGAGUUCUCUUUAGUGUUAUUUCCAAAUUAACUAAAAACCAGGCAGGUACUGAGCCUCAGAUUCCAGCCAUUCACACCAGCAACGAUUUUAUGGACUUCUUCAAUAGUAAAAUUGAAAACAUUCGGGAUAAAAUUAAACAGAUAAAUAUUACAUCCUCUCUGUCAUCUGAUGUGGCUGAUCUAGAACAAAACCCUGUUACUGAAGUUAGGUUGGAAGUCUUUAACCCACUUCCACAGCUAGAACUAGAGAAAAUGAUCUCCUCUUCAAACAGCACAACCUGCACACUUGAUGCUGUUCCCACAAAAUUACUAAAACAGGUACUGCCAGAUAUAAUUAAACCUCUGUUAAUGAUAGUAAACUCAUCGCUCACCCUGGGCCAUGUACCCAAAGCCUUUAAAACAGCUGUAAUUAAACCUCUGAUCAAGAAACCAAAUCUUGAUCCUAGUGUACUGUCUAACUAUAGACCUAUUUUAAACUACAGUUUAUUUCUAAGAUUUUAGAAAAAGCUGUAGCCCAACAACUUUGCUCUUACCUGCAAAGAAACCAGAUCUAUGAAAAAUUUCAAUCUGGAUUUAAGCCUUAUCAUAGCACUGAGACAGCUUUAGUUAGAAUAACAAACGAUCUACUUAUAGCCGCCGAUCAAGGCUGUGUUUCCCUACUCGUACUUCUCGAUCUGAGCGCAGCCUUUGAUACAAUAGAUCAUACUAUCCUUUUAGAAAGACUAGAGAACAUGGUCGGUGUAACCGGAACUGCCUUAGCAUGGUUUAAAUCGUACUUAUCCGAUCGCUAUCAGUUUGUGAGGUUAAAUGAUAUGUCUUCCAGUUAUACCAAGGUAAGAUAUGGAAUUCCACAAGGCUCUAUAUUAGGACAGUUAUUAUUUACAUUAUAUAUGCUCCCACUGGGCAAAUUUAUUAGAAAACAUGAUGUGAAUUUUCAUUGUUAUGCGGAUGACACGCAGCUCUUCAUAUCAGCCAAACCUGAUGACAGAGUGAGAUUAAAGAAAAUCGAGGAUUGUGUAGAAGAUGUAAAAUCAUGGAUGUCGCACAACUUCCUUAUAUUAAAUAGUGAUAAAACAGAAGUUCUCCUAUUAGGCCCCAAAGCUGCUAGAAAUAAAUUAUCAGACUUAAUGCUAAAUCUGGCUGACUUCUCAGCCACCCCUGGUUCAGCAGCUAAAAACCUUGGAGUUAUCAUAGAUUCAGAUCUAGCAUUCGAUAAACACAUAUCUAAUGUUACUAGAACAGCUUUUCUACACCUCCGUAAUAUUGCCAAACUAAGAAAUGCCCUAUCACUGCAUGACGCAGAAAAAAUAGUACAUGCCUUUAUUACCUCAAGGCUAGAUUAUUGUAAUGCGCUACUGUCUGGAUGUUCCGGCAGUAACUUAAAUAAACUUCAGCUAGUUCAAAAUGCUGCAGCCAGGGUCCUUACUAAAACUAGAAAAUUUGACCAUAUUAGUCCAGUACUAUCAGCACUGCACUGGCUUCCAGUCAAAUUCCGCAUAGACUAUAAAAUUCUCCUGUUAACGUAUAAAGCCCUACACGGGCUCGCUCCUGAGUAUUUACAAGACCUCAUCUCCUGUUAUGAACCACCGCGAUUACUUAGAUCUCAGGGUGCUGGUUUAUUAGUAGUUCCUAAAAUUCAGAGGAGCUCUGCAGGAGGAAGAGCUUUCUCUUAUAAAGCGCCUCAACUCUGGAAUAAUCUCCCCGAAUAUGUUCGGGACUCAGACACAAUCUUUAAGUCUAGACUGAAAACUUACUUGUUUAGUUUAGCUUUUGGUAAUUAAUGUUUUUCCCUUUAGAUAAGGCCCCUUUAUGUUUUUCCCUUUAGAUAAAGCUGCAGAUUCAGGGGUUCAUGGACAGAGGAAAUUGUGGUAAACUGAGAUGCUGGGGCUGCUGUUCUCCCACUGCACACGGUCACUCAGGUUUGUGGACGGUGGAGUGGGUGGAUGCCGAUGUUUCAGGGAGCCUCCAUGUCUAUGUUACCUUCUGGCUCUCUCCCUUUAGUUAGGCUGUUUUAUUUAGAUCUGCCGGAGUCAUUUGCCACACUCUGAUAAUGUUUUAAAUUCUCUGUUUUACAUAAAUCCAGUCAAAACUAAUUCCAUCUCUCUGCCUUCCUCCGAGUUACUGACUGCCCACCUGUCUGACCCGAUACCGAGGGAUGUUGGACCCUCAGGCUCUCAUGUCCUCUGUCUGGCCAGACUGGAAGUUUCUGAAGUCAGCUCUUCUCCAUCCACCACCACAGAUCAGCUGCUCAUCAUCCAUCUUACUCUAUAAGCCAUUAGUGGAGCUGCUAUACACCUGAAUAUAUAAAACCUAUGUGGAUGUAUGAAAGACUUUUUAAAAUUAAUUUAAAAGCCAUUUGACCAGUGGUAGGAUGGUCCCCCCUUUAAUGAUGACAAAUACUGGGCGCGGCGCAGAAAGAACAACGUGGCGGCGAAACGUUCACGAGACGCUCGGCGGUUGAAAGAGAACCAGAUCGCCAUCCGAGCCGCUUUCCUGGAGAAGGAGAAUGCCGCCCUCAGACAGGAGGUAGCCGACCUGCGCAAGGAACUGGGCCGCUGCAAGAACAUUCUGGGCAAAUACGAGGCACGGCACGGAGCUCUGUGAAACCAUCCCAUCAGCCUCCUGACCCACCCCCUUCCCAACAAAGAAUUGUCUCACUAAAUCCCUGAAAAACCCAAAACCUCUUCCAAGGACUCUAGUGUGCCUGGUUUGAGGCACCGGCCCUCCAUCUUUCUCUCUCUUGUAUAGAUGUUUUAAUUCUGUUAUAAUUCUUACUGUAGCUCUGUUUUCUUUUUUCGCUUGUUCCCACUGUGUGGCGGGACUGGUGGACGAAUUUCUCUUGUUCCUCUUUAUCAUAAGAUAUUUUUUUUCUGUUGCAUUCCCACUCUGCUGAUGCUGUAAGUUUGCUUUCUCCAGUAUUAUGUUUUUCUUUUAAUUACAAUCCUUAGUGCUGCCCUCUCUUUCUCUUUUGUCACUUUGUGUCUCUCUACCUCUCCCUGCAAGAGUAAAAAUAAAGGUGCUUUAAAGAUUAUUUGUGGAAUACCAUAGAAGAACCAAUUUUUUGUUUCAUUUAAAACCAGCUUUAUUAAUAAAAGUAAAUAAAGAUCCUUUGCCAAUUAAAUUGUAAUUCGUUUAGAACAGGUUCUUUAUGGAACAAAAAUGAUUCCUCUCUGGCAUCACUCAACCACAAAACCUUUACAGCACCUUUAUUGUUUAGAUUGUGUCACUUGUGUCACAAUUGUGGCAGCAUUUUAUUGCUUUACAUUGUUUUUGUUGUGGUUGUUGUCCUAUCGCUCUUUCUUUCUCUCAUGCAGUAAAAUGUAAAUAACACAAGCCCCUUCUCUUCUCACAGUUUAAUUAUUUUUCAUUGGCUGGCUGACUGGUUUCCCUCACCCCACUCUUUGGGUUCUAACGCACACCAGCAUUUUUUGUUCUUUAUUUUCACACAUUGUCUAAUCAUCAAGCAAUAACCCUAAAGCAUGCUUUUUUUUGGAGAAGGUAAAAAAGUGGUUGCUCCAUCUCAAUACUUGUUUUUGAAAUGUGUGUAUGAGUGAGGGGGUGGGGGGUUGGGGGGUAUUGGAACUGGGAGGAACUGCUUUUGUUCUUUUGGAGAAGGAAGCUCCACCCACACACACAUACAAACACAGUUGGAAUUGUAUUUUUGCUAAACUGUAAACAUAGUGACAUCAUACUUUAUCUCUUUAUCUCUCUGCUAACCUGCACUAAAGCGUUUCACAAUCUGAUCUGGUGCAAUGUCUAUUUACUUUCAUUUCUAGAAUCUGCCUAAUAUAUUAUAUAAACAUUGUUUUGUUGUUUUAAAAGUGAAAAAAAAAUAUUUUGGAAAUAUUCAGCUAUUAAUUAGUAUUAUUCUUAAUAGAGCUGUUGAUAUUGUUGUCUGUAAUGAUCCUUUGUUUUUGUCCCUUUCCCUUUUUCGAUGGAUUUCACUGCAUGAACUUUUAAAACAGCAACCUCAAGCUGUCUGUAAAUGUUUAUGCCCCUUGUUUCUUUUUAAGUUAAACGUUUUCUUCUUUUUUCUGAUAUUUUUUGAGUUUUAGGGGUUGGGGGGUUAAUAUUUUCUUUUUUCUUUUUUGUAAAAUCACAUACAGAUCUGUGUAGUCAGUUUGUAGCUGUAUCUUUGGCCCUCUCUCUCACACAAACAAGGCUGAAUGUAAUGAAUGUACAAGUUUUGUUCUGUUUUGUUUUUAUGUUAAAAAGGCGCCAGUAGGAUGGUGUUGUCUAUAAUACUCUGGUAAAUUGAUUUGUUUACUACAGACCAAAACAAGCAGUGCACGCACACACACAUACAUGCACACAUAUACAUGACAAAAAAAAUUACCGGUUAAACAUAAAAAAUGUUUAUAUAAAACUACUCUAGAUUCUCAAUGUUCUUUUUAUACAGUAUUUUUCUUAUACUGGCUAGGUUUUUUUCAUGGCACAAAAGACUAUUAUAAUAAAGAAUACAUACAUAUAUGUAGCUUAGAAUAAAUUAGGAGACCACUUCAAAAUGAUCAGGUUCUCUAUUUUUACUAUUUAUAGGUAUACGUUUGCAUAAAACAAACUUUGUUGGAUAUAAACUAUAAACUACUGACAAAAUUUCCUCUAAGUCUCCGCCUACCUAUUAGACGACCAGGUGUUGUUUGUGCAAACCUAAAAAUUGGACUCUUCAGAGACUUCAGUCCUCUACGGUCAAAUUCUUAUUGCCUUUUACAAACUUCAGCCGGGCUCUUGUUUGCCUCUCAUUAAUGAUUAGGAUCUUACAUGACUUUCCUGCAGACACAUAACAGUAUUAGACUUUAUCCUGAUGUAAUUUUUUUUAUGAUGUAAUGACCAACAUUCAAUCUGAAAUUAGGGUCUAUUGACGUUGGUGGCCAACUGACUCUUGCCCCUAGGAAUCAACUUUUCGUUCCAAACAGCUGAUAUUUGUCUUUUUUUUAGGUCACUUGAGAAUGUCAGGAUGCAUGAAAGCUUGAUUAAAAACCAGGGAUAUUCCACCAAAUAUUGAUUUCUUAAAACAUUAGUUUUGUUGUUUCUAAAUUAAAUGAGCUUGUUUUCUUUGCAUUAGUUAAGGUCUGAAAGCACAGCACCUUUUAUUAUUUUGACUAUUUCUAAUUUUCUGCAAAAAAUGCUCUAAAUUACAAUAUUUUUAUUUGGAAUUUGGAAAAAGCACUGUUCAUUUUACUGAAACAUAUACCUAUAAACACUAAAAUCAGAAAAAACUUUAAGGUGGUCUCUUCAUUUUUUCUGGUGCUCUAUGUUUAGAUAUAAAUCAUAAGUCUAUACAUGAUCUAUAUAUUUGAUCUAUAUAUUACUUGAAGUAAGAGUUUUGCUAUCUUAUAAUAUGUACAGUAUGCUGAAAUUCAAAUGAUUCAGGGGUUGUAUUAAUCCUUCUCAGAGAGUGAGUGCCAGACAGAAAUGUGGUCUUUUUGUGAAUAUGGUUGGUAGUAAAGCUCCAAGACCAGGGCCCACAUGUACAAAGUUUUUACAGUACAUUUAAUUUAUCUUGCAGUCUAAACCUGGAUCAGCAGAAUCAGCACUCUAUAGCCUGGUUUAGUUCUUUAAAAUAAAGGUGCCCAAAAGCCAAAUAGUUAAUGUAGUAGAAGAACCAGAGCAUUGUUGCUGCAAGGCUUUUUCUCUACAGCGGGACGGUUUAACUCCAAUAAUUCAGGUAUCCCCCAACAAUAAUGCUUCUGAAGAGAUCUUGGUAAAGAUUUGGGUCAAUUUUAUUGAGAAGAUGAGAAGGGCUCAUCAAAAGUGCUCAAUGAGUCUUUUUAGAUUUGACAUCGCUCCAAUUGACCCACUUUCGAUGUACUAAAAAAACCUUCAACUGAUCAGUGUCUGGGGAAUUGUCAAAUGAAAGGUUCUUUAGGGAAGCAAAAGUGGUUCUUCUGUGGCAAUGCUCCAAAGAACCCUUGUGGCACCUUUACUUUUAAGGUUGAUCCUGGACAAGCUUAGAUAUUUUCUGAAAUGUAUUUUCAGUAAUGAGUUAUGUUUGUCAGAAUAUGCAGUGGUGGCCUGGUUCUGUGAUGUUGUUUGGGCAUUAAAGACUUACACUCCUCAUUCUCUUCAUACAAAAAUUAGUUGUUGGUUCUCCUUGUUUGUAGAACUGCAGUGUACAAGAUUUCCAUCCACCCAACCAUCUCUCUCUCUGUUUCAUAGCUAGACAGCUUCCUCCUGCCUUCCUGAUUGAUUUCUGAUGAAGAUCUUUAGCUUUGGCUGCUGUGUUUCGUUGGUUAAGAAAGUAAAAGGAAUAAUUUCUGGAUCUUCUGCAGGUCUUUGGGGUCUUUGGGGUCUCUGGUAUUGUGAGUGGAGUCAUUUUUGUUGUAGCUGGAUAGUUUCUAUAGGGAAGUUUCAGCUAUACUCUAAUCCCAGCCUACCUGAUCCAACUUCUUAGAUGAGUACUGAACAAGGUGUAUUUUUGUGUUACCAGUGUGCAGGGUAGUCUAAAGAGCCCCUCGUGGCACUCUUGAGUGCUUUAAACUUUUAAAGAAGCAAAGGUAGAUCCUUUUAGUGUAGUGUCAGUUGAGAGAUUCACAUGUAAGGGUUCUUCAAGGCUGCAGCAGAGAGAACCAGUUUUUAAUAAAUCUCAACUGAUAAAACUGAAGGAUAUUAAAAAACAAAUGGUCUAAAAUAUUUCUAAGUCUGAUCUGGAGCCAAUAGGACUUUUUUAUAUGUUUGAUUUUUGUCAAACCUUUUUCAUUAAUGUGAACUAGUGACCUGGUCAAAUUUGCACUAUAGUGAUUUCACUCUAAUUAAGAAUACUGUCCCCUCCCUCUCCCCAUCCUUGCUGCCCUGAGAUUAGUGUCAGGGGUGAUGGUGGGGUUCAGGGAUUGCAUUUAAGCAUGACUCCUGUAUACCUAACAGAUUCAAGAUGGUGUACCUGUCUUAGUUCGGGCCAAAGUUAAGCUGUGCACAACCUUAGUUUGCUAAGGUUUUAUUUAGUUUUUCUUUCCCCAUUUUUUUUUCUUUCCUACUGUCGUUAAUAAUUUUCUGUUUUGUUUUGGUCUGUGUGUGAGAUGAUUGAGGUAUAUAUAUUGUGUGUGUGUGUGUGUGUGUGUGUGUGUGUGUUUAUGUGUGUGAGGCCCUAGCUAUGCGCCAGUUAUCUUUGUAAAGUGACAAUAAAUCCUGGAAUAAGCCAAUACAAGCGCUUUUCUUUACCCCAUUUAGCUGACUUUUUCGAGUUGGUAGAAAUCUAAAAAUCUCUAAAAGGUGAUUUACAUUUCUUUUGAUGAUGGGAGAUUUAAUGUAGUCUUUAGGGGGCUCAUCUUCAUCCUGUAAACUAUGUAAUUUGUCAUAAUGCCGACCUGUAGAUCUAGCUUGGUUAGGGAGAUUGAACGAUGAAUGUAUUAGACAAUAUUAAUCGUUUCUGUAUCUGGGGCUUAAGGUUGUAGAAGUAAGGCAGGUUUUAGAGGCAGUUUCAACAAUUUGAGUUUAAGGAUGUCGGCAUGACCAGGACUUGUCAGACUGGUUUAAUUCUAGCAAUUCUUUUCCUCGUUAAAAUACCUGAAGUUACAAAAAGUUGUUUUACUGGGACACAUCCUUAGCUUAUUAAAAAUGUUUCCAUUAGCAUUGAUGCUGUCUCAGGGUAGGAACACUGGUAGGAUUUUACCCCCCGGCCCUCCCGCCUUCUCAUCACCAGCCCAAAACCUUACUACCUCAUUCACAAACAUAAGCAACAUCGAUAAUUAGGAGUCUAUUGCAGUGCCUUGAACUACACAGUCACUUGUUCCCUUUCUCGCUUUUUCAUUCUUUAUAAUGACUCUUCAUCACACACUGCAUAGACCUGUAAAGUAAGGGCUCCCUGUUUUCCAUUCAGGUAUCCUCUCACUGUGGACCAUUCCCAAAUCAUGCUAAAACCCUUUCCUUCCAGACUUCAGACAACUUGAUGUAUCGAGGGACCUGAUGACCUGCUAGUGGUCUUGUAAGUCUGGGAGAAGGGUUUGGAUGAAGGGUCCAGGUAUUGGUGGAGGAAUUGUAUCACACUAAUAAUAUAAUUCUGUUAUUUUUUAAUCUGAUCAUUGCAGUAGGCUGUUACCGCUGUAUUGAUGGCAACACCAAAAGACUGUUUCAAAGAGAGAAUGUGGUAAUAAUCUGAAGGUGUUAUAAUCUUGUUGUCUUUAUGCUCCUGUGUGCUUGACUUUCUCCUCUUGUCUCACUGUAAUUUCAGUGUCUAAUAAAGUCCUCUUGGUUCCUCUC